rnacentral:rRNA from 1 species
AACGCGAAGAACCUUACCUGGUCUUGACAUCCACGGAAGUUUUCAGAGAUGAGAAUGUGCCUUCGGGAACCGUGAGACAGGUGCUGCAUGGCUGUCGUCAGCUCGUGAUGUGAAAUGUUGGGUUAAGUCCCGCAACGAGCGCAACCCACACUUUCAGUUGCCAUCAUUCAGUUGGGCACUCUGGAAGAACUGCCGAUAAUAAGUCGGAGGAAGGUGUGGAUGACGUCAAGUCCUCAUGGCCCUUACGGGUUGGGCUACACACGUGCUACAAUGGUGGUGACAGUGGGUUAAUCCCCAAAAGCCAUCUCAGUUCGGAUUGGGGUCUGCAACUCGACUCCAUGAAGUCGGAAUCGCUAGUAAUCGUGGAUCAGAAUGCCACGGUGAAUACGUUCCCGGGCCUUGUACACA